ACCGGAGUGGACGAACCUCUGGUGUUCGGGUUGUCAUGCCAAUGGCAUUGCCCGGUAGCUAAGUUCGGAAUCGAUAACCGCUGAAAGCAUCUAAGCGGGAAGCGAGCCCUGAGAUGAGUUUUCCCUGACACUUUAAGUGUCCUAAAGGGUUGUUCAAGACUAGAACGUUGAUAGGCAGGGUGUGUAAGUGCUGCGAGGCAUUGAGCUAACCUGUACUAAUUGCCCGUGAGGCUUAACCAUACAACACCCAAGGGGUUU
rnacentral:rRNA from 1 species